rnacentral:rRNA from 1 species
GCCGAUGGAAGGACUCAGUAGUACGUGAACCGCUCAGGGGUAAACGGAAAAGACCCGAAAUUUCGAAAGGAAAGAUUCACGUCUCUCUGUAGUUGGCCGUGCUGUACAAAGAUGGGAUUGAUGUGAGCACUUGUGUUCAUUCUCCUUCACACUUCUGUGCAAUGCUGUGUCCAAUAACAGGAGACCGCACUUCUUUUCCUGUAGGACGUCGCGACCUGUCGUCUGGCGGUUUAAGGGUCAGGGUGGCAGACUUGAGGCACUUGUGUCUUGAGACCCUUGAAUUCCCAACCGAUCAGACGACGGUAUGACAUGAUGGUGGUGGACCGCCUCUAGGUGGGCGUGCAGACAUGCAGCAAGUGAUCAAUGGUUUGAGGUGUGCACGGGCUAUGGUUCGGCCAUCUUGCUGUUGUCAUUGUUGGCAGCAUGUUCUUGCACCGUUCCAUACACCGGUCGGCGGCGCUAAGCUUGCGUUCCAGCC